rnacentral:rRNA from 1 species
AGCAGUAGCCGCGGUAAUACCGAGGGUGCGAGCGUUAAUCGGAUUUACUGGGCGUAAAGCGUGCGUAGGCGGCUUCUUAAGUCGGAUGUGAAAUCCCUGAGCUUAACUUAGGAAUUGCAUUCGAUACUGGGAAGCUAGAGUAUGGGAGAGGAUGGUAGAAUUCCAGGUGUAGCGGUGAAAUGCGUAGAGAUCUGGAGGAAUACCGAUGGCGAAGGCAGCCAUCUGGCCUAAUACUGACGCUGAGGUACGAAAGCAUGGAGAGCAAACAGGAUUAGAUACCCCGGUAGUCCCUGUCUCUUAUAC